CUGCAGUGAUGACCUUUUAGGACACCUUUGGAUAAAAGAUGAAACUAACUCAGAGUCUGAGCAGC